CACGUAGGGUGCGAGCGUUGUCCGGAUUCAUUGGGCGUAAAGAGCUCGUAGGCGGCUUGGCAAGUCGGGUGUGAAAACUCCAGGCUCAACCUGGAGACGCCACCCGAUACUGCCAUGGCUAGACGUCCGGUAGGGGACCACGGAAUUCCCGGUGUAGUCGGUGAAAUGCGUAGAUAUCGGGAGGAACGACCGAGUGGCCGAAGGGCGAAGCU
rnacentral:rRNA from 1 species